UAGCAUAAAUUGUGACUAGGGUGUGAAAU
rnacentral:piRNA from 1 species